CAAUAACAAAAUUUCACUUCUGAGCUGUAAAGUAGCCUUAGUGAUAAUUUGGCCUAUGCCAAGAAAUCUGCAAAUAUAUGGAGCCAAGUCAAAGUGAUGUUAGAAGAACUCACUUAACAGUCACGCAAUCACAAGUCUUGUUCUGUUGUCUUUUUUUUGGCAGAUCAAUGCUGAAUUCUCAAGGAUUACAACUGUUCCCCUCACACCGCGAUUCCUGGCUUCUCUGGACAAGCAGCACAGCAAGGUAAUCGAGAUCAUUCAGAACAAGGGAGGAGCUGUCAAAGAGAACACUCGAAACAUACUGAGAGUUCUUGAUCAGAGCCUUGAGGUGAAUCUGAAACGAGAGUGUCUACUGAAGGGCCUUAUUGUCUACCUUGGGGAAGACGUCGACAAACUCUUCAAAGAAUAUCUGGUCAGUCAGGAGGAGGAAGCAGAACAAGAGCUUGCGAGAUGUACCAUGGCAGUUUUUGUCAUCAGAGAGGAGGAGGAUCCUCUUCAGCCCCCACGUGAUAUUGGAGUCAUUAUUGAAGGUGUGAGAGUGCUCUGUGAGUUGCCAUCGCUUGCACAUGGAUGUGCCAUGUUGUUUGGCCUCAUCUAUGCGCUGAACUUGCGUUAUCCAAGUGAGUUAAAACAUACUUUUGAUGCACUGCAGAAAAUAUUCAUGGAGA